GACGAACGCUGGCGGCGUGCUUAACACAUGCAAGUGGAGCGACGAACCAGGCUUCGGCCUGGGGCAGAGCCGCGAACGGGUGAGUAACACGUGGGUAACCUGCCCUGAUGAUCGGGACAACCCGGGGAAACCCGGGCUAAUACCGAAUGUGCCCGCGAGCCGCAAGGCUUGCGAGGAAAGGAAGCUUCGGCCUCCGCAUCGGGAUGGGCCCGCGGCCCAUUAGCUUGUUGGCGGGGUAACGGCCUACCAAGGCAGCAAUGGGUAGCUGGUCUGAGAGGACGAUCAGCCACACUGGGACUGAGACACGGCCCAGACUCCUACGGGAGGCAGCAGUGGGGAAUCUUGCGCAAUGCGCGAAAGCGUGACGCAGCAACGCCGCGUGGGGAAGACGGCCU
rnacentral:rRNA from 1 species